ensembl:misc_RNA Metazoa_SRP Metazoan signal recognition particle RNA
GCUGGGCGCAGUUGCAUGCACCUGUAGUCCCAGCUGCUCAGGAGGCUGAGGUAGGAGAAUCGCUCGAGUCCAGGAGUUCUGAGCUAUAAUGUGCCAUGCCGAUUGGGUGUCUGCACUAAGUUCAGCAUCAAUAUGGUGACUUCCCAGGAGUGGGGAACUACCAGGUUGCCUAAGGAGGGGUGAACCAGCCCAGUUCAGAAACAGUUAAAACUCCCAUGCUGAUCAGUAGUGAGACUGCAUCAGUGAACAGCCACUGCAGUCCAGCCUGGGCAACAUAGUGAGACCCCAUCUCU